AUUGAACGCUGGCGGCAUGCCUUACACAUGCAAGUCGAACGGUAACAGGUUAAGCUGACGAGUGGCGAACGGGUGAGUAAUGUAUCGGAACGUGCCCAGUCGGGGGGGAUAACUGCUCGAAAGAGCAGCUAAUACCGCAUACGACCUGAGGGUGAAAGCGGGGGAUCGCAAGACAUCGCGCGAUUGGAGCGGACGAUAUCAGAUUGGGUAGUGGGUGGGGUAAAGGCCUAGCAAGCCUACGAUCUGUAGCUGGUCUGAGGGGACGACCAGCCACACGGGGACGGAGACACGGCCCAGACUCCUAAGGGAGGAAGCAGGGGGGACUUGUGGACAAUGGACGCAAGUCUGCUCCAGCCAUGCCGCGUACGGGAAGAAGGCCUUCGGGUUGUAAACCGCUUUUGUACGGAACGAAAAGGCUCUGGUUAAUACCUGGGGCUCAUGACGGUACCGUAAGAAUAAGCACCGGCUAACUACGUGCCAGCCGCCGCCGUAA
rnacentral:rRNA from 1 species